UUGUAGACGAUGUGUGUGUGUCCACCUAAAUCGCUCUCGUUAGUUAUCUCGACUUCAAAUUUUUGUGUCAGUACUCUUUUUAAAAACUUUUUUUUUUCGUCACUUGUGCAGGGCUGUUUAAAAACCCCCCAAAAUUGCUCUUUCUAUGGCAAAACAUUCAACUCACACUGAGCUUGAGAGCCUCUUCGAAGGGUGCAGACGCAUGGUAGGAGAGCACCUCAAGUGUAACUCGUUUGGCCAUGGCAUUCACCACCAUUUCAUACAUCGAUCUGUGUGUUCUGGAUGCCCAAGCCACAAAAGAUUGUGAACGCCUGUGCAUACAUGAUGAGAACAAAUGAAGCAUAGGCUGGGUGAAGAAUCAAGCACUAUGUCAUCAAUCACGUAGCAAUAAGUACUGAAGGUGGAUCCACAAUGGCCAUGAAGUGGAACAUGAUGUGAUACAAUUCCCACUUGAGUGCAUGAGCGUUUCUUAAAUGCUUAUUGAAAGAUGGAAAGAACUUUGACCAAGACCAAAAAGUUAACCGCCGUAAAGACAGGUGGCCUUGUGCAAGCACUGAUGAGAAGGACUCCGCGUUAAUGGUGCCACGUACGUGAAGGUGCUUGCCCCCGUUGUAAAGCCCUGGAUGGAGACUGUUUCGAAAGGAAGACCUUAUGUCUUUCAGCAAGAUUUGGCUCCUGCCCACACCGCCUGCGUCACCCAGGAGUGACAACUUCUACGACCACGUCACUCCCAACUUGUGGCCUCCUAGUUCUCCAGAUUUAAAUCUGCUCGACUACUGUACUAUGUCUGGAGCGUCGUUGAGAGAGAGGUCAACAAACAGCCACAUAAUACAAAAGACUCACUGAAGGCCACCAUUGCCGACUCAAUG